UUGUAAAACGACGGCCAGUGAAUUGUAAAUACGACUCACUAUAGGGCGAAUUGAAUUUAGCGGCCGCGAAUUCGCCCUUAGAGUUUGAUCAUGGCUCAGAACGUACGCUGGCGGCACGCCUAACACAUGCAAGUCGAACGAAGUAGCAAUACUUAGUGGCAGACGGGUGAGUAACAUGUAGGUAUCUGCCCUUUGGCCUGGAAUAACACGAGGAAACUUGUGCUAAUACCGGAUAAGUCUUUACGGAGAAAGCUUUAUGCACCAUUGGAUGAGCCUGCACUUGAUUAGUUUGUUGGUGGGGUAAUGGCCUACCAAGACUGUGAUCAAUAGCUGAUUUGAGAGGAUGAUCAGCCACAUUGGGACUGAGACACGGCCCAAACUCCUACGGGAGGCAGCAGUGGGGAAUCUUGCACAAUGGAGGAAACUCUGAUGCAGCGAUGCCGCGUGAGUGAAGAAGGCCCUUGGGUUGUAAAGCUCUUUCGUCGGGGAAGAAAAUGACUGUACCCGAAUAAGAAGGUCCGGCUAACUUCGUGCCAGCAGCCGCGGUAAUACGAAGGGACCUAGCGUAGUUCGGAAUUACUGGGCUUAAAGAGUUCGUAGGUGGUUGAAAAAGUUGGUGGUGAAAUCCCAGAGCUUAACUCUGGAACUGCCAUCAAAACUUUUCAGCUAGAGUAUGAUAGAGGAAAGCAGAAUUUCUAGUGUAGAGGUGAAAUUCGUAGAUAUUAGAAAGAAUACCAAUUGCGAAGGCAGCUUUCUGGAUCAUUACUGACACUGAGGAACGAAAGCAUGGGUAGCGAAGAGGAUUAGAUACCCUCGUAGUCCAUGCCGUAAACGAUGUGUGUUAGACGUGGAAAUUUAUUUUCAGUGUCGCAGCGAAAGCGAAAACACACCGCCUGGGGGAG
rnacentral:rRNA from 1 species